UCAAACUCCAUUGUAGUGUUCACCUCACAAGUUCACAGUUCACAUGGCCACGCAUGUAACACGUGAUGAACCCUCGGCCCGUUCCGAAAUAUUCGGUGAUGUCACUGGAAUUCCAAAGUUCUUAUUCUGGAGUGAUUUUGGAAGACAGCAGUUUGUUUCACUCAGGGAAGCUAAAAGACUUCUGUGUUUGAGUGGGUCAAGGUGUGCUGCUUGAUGUCUCUCCUACAGGUGGUCCUUACAGGCUUUCUCCGCUGGUGUCCCACCAAUUUUUUUUUUUUUUUUUCCACACACACGAGAUACAGCAUUAGUAUCAUUGUGUUGCAGGUUGAAACAAGAAUUGAGAACCAUUGAUUCUGAAUGGAGCCUUGCAACUCAUGACUAGUUCCUCCUCUUGGUGAAGGAGUACCUCCACAAGCUGCCCAGUAAGGUGGUACAGCAGAGGAUAGCAUGGCAAGAGACACAUUUGAACAUUCAGGAUCUUGUCUGUGUUGUGAUGCGACUCCAGGUUAAAAGAGAAAGAGAAGAAAAAGUAAAAGUUGACGUGGAUGUCUGAGUAGAAGAGCAGGGGUGUCGCCAGAGUCAGCAGACCAGGGUUAUCGCGUGGGCUUGGCGGUCUGGGAGAGGCGCCGGCAGCCUGCACAAGACGGGUCACUCAAGGCCGGGCAGACAGGCAGGCAAGGACGGAGGCAGACACAAGUUAAAGUAAAGGAGGCGAGUCAUUCUGUGGAGGCUGGCGUGAAGAGGAGCAUACACACACACACACACACACACACACACACACACACACACACACACACACACACACACACACA